rnacentral:lncRNA from 1 species
CUAGGCCAACAGGUAACUCCCACUAGGGCAUAUGAAAGUGAUGACCCUUCAAUCUCUCUUUUUUUUUUUUUUUUUUUGUCUCUUUUAGGGCCGCACUCGCGGUAUAUGAAGGUUCCCAAGCUAGGGGUCUAAUCGGAGCUACAGCACCUGGCCUACGCCAGAGCCACAGCAACACGGGAUCCAAGCCGCGUCUGCAACCUACACCACAGCUCAUGGCAACGCCGGAUCGUUAACCCACUGAGCAAGGGCAGGGACCGAACCUGCAACCUCAUGGUUUCUAGUCGGAUUCGUUAACCACUACGCCACGACGGGAACUCCAGAAAAACGUAAUUCUUAUGAGGCCCUUGUCAGAGAAAAAUUACAAGUAUUUUGUAAUUACAAAAAUGAAAAAUUACAAGUAUUUUGUGCCCUUAUGCUUAACUCGCGCUUAGACGCUGAAACCCAGACCGAAGGCGCGGACCGCUCCGGCCACGCGCUCAGAGCCCGGCGCACGCGCAGAGCGGAGGGCCUGCUAGGGAACGCGGGGAGGGCGCGUGCACACGCACGCGCAGGCCUGGCGUGACAAUCGGUCUGAGCGGGCGCAGUGGCGGCAGCCGCUGCACCCGCGUGGCUAGAAGCCCACGGUCUGCAGGCGAGUUGAGGUUUCAGGUCAUUCCAGCUUCGGCCGUGGGGCCCCGCUCAGACGCGCGCCUGUCUCCUGGUGAAAUCCUGGAGGCUGUCCUUUCCACCGUCCUGUCUGCACGAGGAGGACACGGGGGUCAGCUUCCUGGGAGAAGGGAGUCGUCCGGAUGGCUGGUCCCCGGAGGGGUGACUUACUGCAUGAACAUCGAAAUCAGAUGAACCCUGACGGCGACAGCGAUGGUGCACGGGCCCCUCACCCCGAUACCCAGGACCCAGAGAGGAUCGGCUGGAAGUGAUGGACACGAAACCACCGCCCCCCGCCCCGGAUAAAGUGGCAGGAGCAGCGACACGAGGAGGUGCUGCUCUAAGAACCAGGAAGAAGUGGUCUUCUCCCCAAGCCCUUGGAUAAUAACACUGUAGCCCACCCGAUGCUUGGCAGAGCCUCCUUGCCUGCCCGCUCGCAUCUCUCACAAGCCUCCUGUUUUAGUAAGUCCACUUCUUGUCUAUCACUUGGUCUCUCGCUGAUCUUCUGCACAAAAAACCUGAGCCUCAGUAAGUCCAGACACGGGCUGAGUGGUCUUAAUUUAAAAACCAUAGGUUCAAGCCCCCAUCUGGGUUCUGUCUGGGUUCAGGUGUUGUCAGUUUCAGGGGUAGUGGAGAGAAAGAGGUUUGCUUGUUUUUUUUGCUUGUUUUUUGUUUUUUAAUGGCUGCAACCCCAACAUAUGGAGGUUCCCAGGCUAGGGGUCUAGUUCGAGCUGUCGCCACUGGCCUACACCACAGCAA